ACAAACUUGGUCAUUUAGAGGAAGUAAAAGUCGUAACAAGGUUUCCGUAGGUGAACCUGCGGAAGGAUCAUUAACAAAUCAUCAAAAACAACCAUGUGUCAAUGUCUUCUCUUUCCCUUGUUGGCGUGAAGUGAGUAGUAGUUGUUGGAGAGAUGUCGAGGCCAGUAAUAUAUAGAGAUUAUGUAUUAUUCAUUCUUCAUCUCUUCUCUUCUCUCUCUCUCCCUUACACUCAAGGGAAACGAUUGUUUAUUUAAUGACUAUCAACAUGACAGCCUUAGAUCAUUAUUAUUAAAAAUUUAAACAACUUUUAACAAUGGAUCUCUUGGCUCUUGCAUCGAUGAAGAACGCAGC
rnacentral:misc_RNA from 1 species